GAGUUUGAUCAUGGCUCAGAUUGAACGCUGGCGGCAGGCCUAACACAUGCAAGUCGAACGGUAACAGGAAACAGCUUGCUGUUUCGCUGACGAGUGGCGGACGGGUGAGUAAUGUCUGGGAAACUGCCUGAUGGAGGGGGAUAACUACUGGAAACGGUAGCUAAUACCGCAUAACGUCGCAAGACCAAAGAGGGGGACCCUCGGGCCUCUUGCCAUCGGAUGUGCCCAGAUGGGAUUAGCUUGUUGGUGGGGUAACGGCUCACCAAGGCGACGAUCCCUAGCUGGUCUGAGAGGAUGACCAGCCACACUGGAACUGAGACACGGUCCAGACUCCUACGGGAGGCAGCAGUGGGGAAUAUUGCACAAUGGGCGCAAGCCUGAUGCAGCCAUGCCGCGUGUAUGAAGAAGGCCUUCGGGUUGUAAAGUACUUUCAGCGGGGAGGAAGGGAGUAAAGUUAAUACCUUUGCUCAUUGACGUUACCCGCAGAAGAAGCACCGGCUAACUCCGUGCCAGCAGCCGCGGUAAUACGGAGGGUGCAAGCGUUAAUCGGAAUUACUGGGCGUAAAGCGCACGCAGGCGGUUUGUUAAGUCAGAUGUGAAAUCCCCGGGCUCAACCUGGGAACUGCAUCUGAUACUGGCAAGCUUGAGUCUCGUAGAGGGGGGUAGAAUUCCAGGUGUAGCGGUGAAAUGCGUAGAGAUCUGGAGGAAUACCGGUGGCGAAGGCGGCCCCCUGGACGAAGACUGACGCUCAGGUGCGAAAGCGUGGGGAGCAAACAGGAUUAGAUACCCUGGUAGUCCACGCCGUAAACGAUGUCGACUUGGAGGUUGUGCCCUUGAGGCGUGGCUUCCGGAGCUAACGCGUUAAGUCGACCGCCUGGGGAGUACGGCCGCAAGGUUAAAACUCAAUGAAUUGACGGGGGCCCGCACAAGCGGUGGAGCAUGUGGUUUAAUUCGAUGCAACGCGAAGAACCUUACCUGGUCUUGACAUCCACGGAAGUUUUCAGAGAUGAGAAUGUGCCUUCGGGAACCGUGAGACAGGUGCUGCAUGGCUGUCGUCAGCUCGUGUUGUGAAAUGUUGGGUUAAGUCCCGCAACGAGCGCAACCCUUAUCCUUUGUUGCCAGCGGUCCGGCCGGGAACUCAAAGGAGACUGCCAGUGAUAAACUGGAGGAAGGUGGGGAUGACGUCAAGUCAUCAUGCCCCUUACGACCAGGGCUACACACGUGCUACAAUGGCGCAUACAAAGAGAAGCGACCUCGCGAGAGCAAGCGGACCUCAUAAAGUGCGUCGUAGUCCGGAUUGGAGUCUGCAACUCGACUCCAUGAAGUCGGAAUCGCUAGUAAUCGUGGAUCAGAAUGCCACGGUGAAUACGUUCCCGGGCCUUGUACACACCGCCCGUCACACCAUGGGAGUGGGUUGCAAAAGAAGUAGGUAGCUUAACCUUCGGGAGGGCGCUUACCACUUUGUGAUUCAUGACUGGGGUGAAGUCGUAACAAGGUA
rnacentral:rRNA from 1 species